CCUACGGGUGGCAGCAGUGAGGAAUAUUGGUCAAUGGACGAAAGUCUGAACCAGCCAAGCCGCGUGAAGGACGACUGCCCUAUGCAUUGUAAACUUCUUUUAUCAAGGAAUAAAAUGAUGCACGUGUGCCUUUUUGUAUGUACUUUAUGAAUAAGGAUCGGCUAACUCCGUGCCAGCAGCCGCGGUAAUACGGAGGAUCCGAGCGUUAUCCGGAUUUAUUGGGUUUAAAGGGUGCGUAGGUGGUUUGUUAAGUCAGUUGUGAAAGUGUGGGGCUCAACCGUAAAAUUGCAGUUGAAACUGGCUGUCGUGAGAAGAGUAGAGGUAGGCGGAAUUCGCGGUGUAGCGGUGAAAUGCUUAGAUAUCACGAAGAACUCCGAUUGCGAAGGCAGCUUACUGGACGGGAACUGACACUGAGGCUCGAAAGGGUGGGUAUCAAACAGGAUUAGAUACCCUUGUAGUC
rnacentral:rRNA from 1 species